GGGGACGACAGGCUUCGACGUGGUCGGAUCGUGGGGGUGGUUGCGAGUCGAGGUGCCCGGGAGGCCUCGUAAAACACCUGGGAAACCAUAAGUGCGGACACGCACAACUUUGAUCUUGGCCUCGCUGCUUAAUCUCAGCUAGCUAAGACUCAUCCCGGCCUCCGUUCGCCCACGGCGGUCGAUCCGGGAUCAACAGUGGGCUAGCUCGGUGAGGAUUUGUUCCCUCCGAUCCGAGGACCACCCAGGGAGCUGGCACCCCACAACCCGGCCGGCGAGGCUAGUGGGGAGCGAGAUCAGAGCGCCGGCUACGCUCGUAGACGCCAUCUCUUACGCGACCGCGGACGGGGGUUCAAUUCCCCCCGUCUCCAUCA
rnacentral:tmRNA from 1 species